AGAGUUUGAUCAUGGCUCAGAUUGAACGCUGGCGGCAGGCUUAACACAUGCAAGUCGAGCGGAGCGAGGGUGCUUGCACCUUAGCUUAGCGGCGGACGGGUGAGUAAUGCUUAGGAAUCUGCCUAUUAGUGGGGGACAACAUUCCGAAAGGGAUGCUAAUACCGCAUACGCCCUACGGGGGAAAGCAGGGGAUCUUCGGACCUUGCGCUAAUAGAUGAGCCUAAGUCGGAUUAGCUAGUUGGUGGGGUAAAGGCCUACCAAGGCGACGAUCUGUAGCGGGUCUGAGAGGAUGAUCCGCCACACUGGGGCUGAGACACGGCCCAGACUCCUACGGGAGGCAGCAGUGGGGAAUAUUGGACAAUGGGGGGAACCCUGAUCCAGCCAUGCCGCGUGUGUGAAGAAGGCCUUUUGGUUGUAAAGCACUUUAAGCGAGGAGGAGGCGCUCUAGGAUAAUACCCUAGAUGCGUGGACGUUACUCGCAGAAUAAGCACCGGCUAACUCUGUGCCAGCAGCCGCGGUAAUACAGAGGGUGCGAGCGUUAAUCGGAUUUACUGGGCGUAAAGCGCGCGUAGGUGGCUAAUUAAGUCAAAUGUGAAAUCCCCGAGCUUAACUUGGGAAUUGCAUUCGAUACUGGUUAGCUAGAGUAUGGGAGAGGAUGGUAGAAUUCCAGGUGUAGCGGUGAAAUGCGUAGAGAUCUGGAGGAAUACCGAUGGCGAAGGCAGCCAUCUGGCCUAAUACUGACACUGAGGUGCGAAAGCAUGGGGAGCAAACAGGAUUAGAUACCCUGGUAGUCCAUGCCGUAAACGAUGUCUACUAGCCGUUGGGGCCUUUGAGGCUUUAGUGGCGCAGCUAACGCGAUAAGUAGACCGCCUGGGGAGUACGGUCGCAAGACUAAAACUCAAAUGAAUUGACGGGGGCCCGCACAAGCGGUGGAGCAUGUGGUUUAAUUCGAUGCAACGCGAAGAACCUUACCUGGCCUUGACAUACAGAGAACUUUCCAGAGAUGGAUUGGUGCCUUCGGGAACUCUGAUACAGGUGCUGCAUGGCUGUCGUCAGCUCGUGUCGUGAGAUGUUGGGUUAAGUCCCGCAACGAGCGCAACCCUUUUCCUUACUUGCCAGCAUUUCGGAUGGGAACUUUAAGGAUACUGCCAGUGACAAACUGGAGGAAGGCGGGGACGACGUCAAGUCAUCAUGGCCCUUACGGCCAGGGCUACACACGUGCUACAAUGGUCGGUACAAAGGGUUGCUACACAGCGAUGUGAUACUAAUCUCAAAAAGCCGAUCGUAGUCCGGAUUGGAGUCUGCAACUCGACUCCAUGAAGUCGGAAUCGCUAGUAAUCGCGGAUCAGAAUGCCGCGGUGAAUACGUUCCCGGGCCUUGUACACACCGCCCGUCACACCAUGGGAGUUUGUUGCACCAGAAGUAGGUAGUCUAACCUUAGGGAGGACGCUUACCACGGUGUGGCCGAUGACUGGGGUGAAGUCGUAACAAGGUAACC
rnacentral:rRNA from 1 species